UAAGGAAUAUUGGUCAAUGGACGCAAGUCUGAACCAGCCAUGCCGCGUGAAGGAUGAAGGUCCCCUGGAUUGUAAACUUCUUUUAUCUGGGACGAAAACGGGAUUUUUAUCUCAAUUGACGGUACCAGAGGAAUAAGCACCGGCUAACUCCGUGCCAGCAGCCGCGGUAAUACGGAGGGUGCGAGCGUUAUCCGGAUUUACUGGGUUUAAAGGGUGCGUAGGUGGGCUUAUAAGUCAGUGGUGAAAUCUCCGAGCUUAACUUGGGAACUGCCGGUGAUACUAUAGGUCUUGAAUUAUCUGGAGGUCAGCGGAAUAUGACAUGUAGCGGUGAAAUGCUUAGAUAUGACAUAGAACACCAAUUGCGAAGGCAGCUUACUACAUAUAAAUUGACGCUGAGGCACGAAAGCGUGGGGAUCAAACA
rnacentral:rRNA from 1 species